rnacentral:rRNA from 1 species
CAGCCGCCGCGGUAAUUCGGAGGGUGCGAGCGUUAAUCGGAAUUACUGGGCGUAAAGCGCGCGUAGGCGGUUUGUUAAGUCGGAUGUGAAAUCCCCGGGCUCAACCUGGGAAUGGCAUUCGAUACUGGCCGACUAGAGUACGAGAGAGGGAGGUAGAAUUCCACGUGUAGCGGUGAAAUGCGUAGAUAUGUGGAGGAAUACCGGUGGCGAAGGCGGCCUCCUGGCUCGAUACUGACGCUGAGGUGCGAAAGCGUGGGUAGCAAACAGGAUUAGAUACCCUGGUAGUCCACGCCGUAAACGAUGUCUACUAGCCGUUGGGAGACUUGAUUUCUUAGUGGCGCAGCUAACGCACUAAGUAGACCGCCUGGGGAGUACGGCCGCAAGGUUAAAACUUAAAGGAAUUGACGG